rnacentral:lncRNA from 1 species
AUGCCACCACAUCUCAUCAAGACUGAUCCCUGGGAGCAGCCCCAGCUGGGGGCGCAAGGAAGGGGCUGUGGCCUGCCCUUGCCCUUCAGAGGACCAGUGGGCACUGGAUGGAAAGUAUUCCUAACUUCCCCUGCCCCGGUCCUUGGCGUUCUUCCCAUGCGUCCCACCCCGGGUCUUCUGCAGCAUCACCCUGUCUUCCAAGUCCCCUUGUCCGGCUGUGAGGGGGCCCCGGCCACAGCUCCAGCAGCAGGUCCUUCUUCUGCACUGCGUAGACCAGCAAUGCCGGGUUCAGGUGACCAGGUUGGAACCGGAUAGACUGUGGAAGGAUGAUGAACAGACGACACCCUUUUGUAAACUACCUAACACAGGAAACGAAGAUCUUAUCACUGUAGGCACCAGCCCAACCACUCACUCCUGCUUCUGUCCUCUCCAAAUAGCAUUCUCUUCACUGAGGAGGCUUGCUAAGGCCUGGGAGGUAGCUCUCCCGAAUAAUAUGUCUGGGGUCUGGUGGGGGGAAAAAAAAUCGUACUGAGCUAACCUACAGCAAACAAUUUUAGGUGAAAAUUUUAACAAUCAAAAAAGAUUUUGUGAGGACCUGUCAUGGCUCAGCAGUUAGUGAACCUGGCUAGCAUCCACGAGGACAUGGGAUCAAUCCCCAGCCUCACUCUGUGGGUUAAGGAUUCUGGGUUGCUGUGAGCUGUGGUGUAGGUUGCAGAUGCGGCUCGAAUCCCACGUUGCUGUGGCUCUGGUGUAGGCCAGCGGCUACAGCUCCGAUUUGACCCCAAGCCUGGGAACCUCCAUAUGCUGUAGAUGUGGCCCUAAAAAGACAAAAGACCAGAAAAAAAAAAAAAAAGGAAAAAAAAAAGAUUUUGAAGAACAUCAAUACCAUUUAGAAACAAGUGUCCUUCAAGUUCAUAUUCAGUUUCACAUAAGCCCUUAGAGCAUGCCUGUCCAGUUUAUUACGAUUCAGAUAAUGGUGCAGCUUAUGAAUUAUCUUUUAUACGUGGCUCUACUCGUUCAUCUAGAAAUGCAAAACACAAGAGUUAUCAAAAGUUGGUCAAAUAUUGUACGCCUGGAGGGAGUAACAUCAGGACAAACAUUAAAAAUCCAGUCAUUUUCUCUUUUUUAAAACAUGUUUUCUACACUUUCCAGCUGUUACAAGGGAUGAAAAAUCAGAAAUGCAGAGUUUUCUUUUCAAAUAGUAAAGGCGUCUGGACACCUACCCAGAGUUGAGCAGUAGAUAGAUCUGGCAAAUGUUAAAAUUAUUCUGAAGAUACUGUAAGGAUUACAUUUCAUAUCCAACAAAUUUUAUUCGCUGUGCAAAAUAUCUGUAGUUAAACAAAUUAUUCCAAACUCGGGACUGAAUACACUCAAUAAAGCUGUCAAAGAACAAGGAUCCGUUGUCUCU